rnacentral:rRNA from 1 species
UACGAAGGGGGCUAGCGUUGCUCGGAAUCACUGGGCGUAAAGGGCGCGUAGGCGGCUGUUCAAGUCGGGGGUGAAAGCCUGUGGCUCAACCACAGAAUGGCCUUCGAUACUGGACGGCUCGAGACCGGAAGAGGUCAGUGGAACUGCGAGUGUAGAGGUGAAAUUCGUAGAUAUUCGCAAGAACACCAGUGGCGAAGGCGGCUGACUGGUCCGGUUCUGACGCUGAGGCACGAAAGCGUGGGGAGCAAACAGG